rnacentral:lncRNA from 1 species
CCGCGGCCCUGGCGCGCGUGACGCAGAAGCGUACGCUAGUACGUGACGUCGCAAGGACGUACGCUCUGGAGCUCACAAGGGAAGAUGGCGGCUGUACCUUUGGAGGAGAGCGACUGAAAAGGGAGGAGGAAGGAGGUCAGGCAGGGAAACACUGCCAACUGUGAAGACGAACGCUUCGCUCGACAUUAGGAGGUCUGCUCAACGCCAGCGGGUCUUCUGUCAGUGUGGAGGGGGAUCCUGCACCUUCUGCUUAACUGCAUAUGAGCAAGAAAGCUUGCGAAUCCAGAUGUUUCUCUUAGCCUGCUUCCAGGGUGCAGGGGAACACAGUUCAGCCCAUAAGAGCUACCACAAGGCCAAAUAACUUAAUGAUUUGAUCGGUUCCGUGAAGCUGGACUAUGGCAUAUGUGAAGCCUGGUUACUGUGGUGAGGUGGUUUGCUUUUAUUUAAUUUUGGACUUAAUCUGGAUUUGAAAUAUGUACAAUUAUACUUUUUUCUCUUUCUUCACACAAGUAAUUC